AAUAUUAACGGAGAAGCUGACAAAAAGAUAAAAAUAAAAUCACAGGAUACUAACUUGAUACAUUUUAAACCACGGGAUAUUAAAGUAAAAAAGUGUGAAACCACAUGGAUGAUUUUUGAAGUUUAUCCUAUUGUCUUUAUAUGAGUGGCGCUUCUGUGCUUUUAAAAGCACACGAACUUAACAUAUGCCAGUGAUUUUUUAGCGAUCAAAUUGUUUUAAGUACCGUACAGUACUAAUAAAGGAGACUUAAUGCGAGACACUAUUAGUAGUGUUGUCUGGAAUUGAGGCGAUCCGAUGGCUAAAAAAUUAUAAAUAUAAAUGCUUAUGUACUUUUAAAAGCAGAAAAAGUUAAAUUCAUCUUCACACAGACACAUAUAUAUAAUUAAUUAAUU
rnacentral:lncRNA from 1 species